GACGAACGCUGGCGGCGUGCUUAACACAUGCAAGUCGAACGAAGAGCGAUGGAAGCUUGCUUCUAUCAAUCUUAGUGGCGAACGGGUGAGUAACGCGUAAUCAACCUGCCCUUCAGAGGGGGACAACAGUUGGAAACGACUGCUAAUACCGCAUACGAUCUAAUCUCGGCAUCGAGGAUAGAUGAAAGGUGGCCUCUACAUGUAAGCUAUCACUGAAGGAGGGGAUUGCGUCUGAUUAGCUAGUUGGAGGGGUAACGGCCCACCAAGGCGAUGAUCAGUAGCCGGUCUGAGAGGAUGAACGGCCACAUUGGGACUGAGACACGGCCCAGACUCCUACGGGAGGCAGCAGUGGGGAAUCUUCCCCAAUGGACGAAAGUCUGACGGAGCAACGCCGCGUGAGCGAUGACGGCCUUCGGGUUGUAAAGCUCUGUUAAUCGGGACGAAAGGCCUUCUUGCGAAUAGGGAGAAGGAUUGACGGUACCGGAAUAGAAAGCCACGGCUAACUACGUG
rnacentral:rRNA from 1 species